GCUAGCGGGCAGGCUUAAUACAUGCAAGUCGAGGGGCAGCAUGGACGAACCUAGUUUGUCUGAUGGCGACCGGCGCACGGGUGAGUAACGCGUACGCAACCUACCCUUGAGAGGGGCAUAGCCCCGGGAAACUGGGAGUAAUACCCCAUAGUAUCCAUAGAUCGCAUGAGAAAUGGAUUAAAACUGAGGUGCUCAAGGAUGGGCGUGCGUGCUAUUAGGUAGUUGGUGAGGUAACGGCUCACCAAGCCAACGAUAGCUAGGGGGCGUGAGAGCGUGGUCCCCCACACGGGUACUGAGACACGGACCCGACUCCUACGGGAGGCAGCAGUAAGGAAUAUUGGACAAUGGGCGAGAGCCUGAUCCAGCCAUCCCGCGUGCAGGAAGACGGCCCUCUGGGUUGUAAACUGCUUUUAUAUGGGAAGAAUAAGCUUCAUUUAUGAGGCUAUGACGGUACCAUACGAAUAAGCACCGGCUAACUCCGUGCCAGCAGCCGCGGUAAUACGGAGGGUGCAAGCGUUAUCCGGAAUCACUGGGUUUAAAGGGUGCGUAGGCGGCCCGAUUAGUCAGAGGUGAAAGCCUAUAGCUCAACUAUAGAAUUGCCUUUGAUACUGUCGGGCUUGAAUUAGGAC
rnacentral:rRNA from 1 species